rnacentral:lncRNA from 1 species
AUUAAUAAAAGUAGUGAAUGCAACAAGAGCCACCCUUUUCUUUCCUUUGUCAGGUCCUGAAGGGGGCAGGGCGGGAGCAGGAGAGCCUGCAGACACCGGAGACGUGCCAGACGUGUGACAGGAAGGGCUCGGCGAAACGGGGAGCUGCUCAGUCUUGUUGCACUACCGAGGCCUUCCUCUCACCAUCCUCCACCCAUGAGCCAGCGAACAAGAAAGCCUCGGGGAGAAUCUUCCGUUUACCAAGCUCUGAGCUAGGAAUCCAGGAGGAGUGCUGCAGUUAGGGAGUAUGGGGUCAGCUUCCUGUCCUGCAGUGGGAUGCCCAAUGUGCAUUCCUUCAUUCAAAUCUACCUUGAGACUGGCCCCGUCCAUGGCUCUGAAAAUACAGUAGUAAAUAAAGCAGACACACUCCACCUUCUCAAGGUACUGGAUUUAGUCUGUUGGAAAGAUAAAGAAGACAUUGAAAGUUAACUGAAAUACAAGAUGUAAAUGGCAAAUGCGAAGUAAAGACUGGCAGCACCCGAUGAAUAGGUCUAAUACGAAUAGUGUGGAUAUAGCGUGCCCAGCCUGGUGCUAGUGUUGGGGCGGGGGGAGGAGUGGGCAGCAGAACAGAAUUACAUACGUGCCCCCUUCUCCAGGAGCUGUUGAUGUCUCUCACAAGAAUGCCCAGAAGGCAACCGCAAAUAUUUGUACACCCGUCUUGGCUUCUCAUGAUGGCGCAGGGAGAGCCUUGGUGGGAAGAGAACAGAGGGAGUUGUCCAGUGGCCUUGGGUUCCUGCCAGAGGCUCCCUCCAGCAGCGGAUCCCGGGGCCUCGGGUUCUCACCUGGGAGAGGAGGGACUGGUCUUCAUCAUCUCUGACUGCUCUGAUCGCUCUUGUUGUGGGAUGGACACUGCUGGCUGAUUACCCCCUUCAGCCCACGAGAAGGAGCAGGAGCAGCCUCUGGUCAACUGUAAUCCCUGCAGACAGAGCUCAAAUCUAUGAGUGAGCGCUUAGUGGUCCCUUUGCACAGGAGAAGCUGAAAAUUAGAGCGUGGCUCAGCUUCGGGCUGCCAGAGGUUUGAAUCCUGGCUCUGCCACUCAGCAGCUUGAGAGAAAUGAUGUAAGCUCUCACGCAGUGUGUCUGCUUCUUCAUUUGUAAAUGAGAAUAAUAACAGUACCUCACAGAUUUGUAAGACUGAGUAAAAGAGUGCAUGCAAAGGAUUUAGAAAUGU